rnacentral:miRNA from 1 species
UUUGUAUUACGUGCGGAAAUUGUUACCAUUUUCUGCUCAAAAAUGGUAACAAUUUCCGCACGUAAUACAAA